UACGUAGGGGGGCAAGCGUUGUCCGGAAUUAUUGGGCGUAAAGAGCGUGUAGGCGGUCCGGUAAGUCAGCUGUGAAAGUCAAGGGCUCAACCCUUGAAUGCCGGUGGAUACUGCAGGGCUAGAGUCCGGAAGAGGCGAGUGGAAUUCCUGGUGUAGCGGUGAAAUGCGCAGAUAUCAGGAGGAACACCGAUGGCGAAGGCAGCUCGCUGGGACGGUACUGACGCUGAGGCGCGAAAGCGUGGGGAGCGAACAGG
rnacentral:rRNA from 1 species